rnacentral:misc_RNA from 1 species
UACGUAGGUGGCGAACGUUAUCCGGAAUUACUGGGCGUAAAGGGUCCGUAGGCGGUGCGGCAAGUCUGACGUGAAAGCGACCGGCUUAACCGGUCGAGGCCGUCGGAAACUGGCGUACUUGAAUCUGGCAGAGGUCGGCAGAAUUCCCGGUGUAGUGGUGGAAUGCGUAGAGAUCGGGAGGAAUACCAACAGCGCAAGCAGCCGGCUGGGUCAAGAUUGACGCUGAGGGACGAAAGCGUGGGGAGCGAACAGG